rnacentral:rRNA from 1 species
AAGAGGUCCAGCUCCCAGUGAGACUUAAACGGCCGCGGUACCCUGACCGUGCAAAGGUAGCAUAAUCAUUUGUUUAAAUAAGGACUCGUAUCAACGGCACCACGAGGGUUAUACUGUCUCCCCUCUCUAAUCAAAUGACCUCCCCGUGAAGAGGCGGGGAUAAAAAUACAAGACGAGAAGACCCCAUGGAGCUUUAAACCCAAUAACAACCCCUUUUAAAAACAUCAAAAACUCUACGGUAAUUUUAUGGUUUUAGGUUGGGGUGACCACGGAGCAAAACAUAACCUCCUUGACGAAUUGAUUUCCCUAAUCCAAGAGCCACUGCUCUAAGAAUCAAAAAUGACGUAAUAUGAUCCGAACCGAUCAACGAACCAAGUUACCCUGGGGAUAACAGCGCAAUCCAUUUCAACCCUAUCGACAAAUGGGUUUACGACCUCUGUUGGAUCAGGGUAUCCCAGUGGUGCAGC